GGCCAGUGUCUCAUGGCACUCAAGUUUCAAGUUCCAUGUGCUUCUUUGCCAACAAGGACAGCAUGACCCAGUUUUAAAUCUUCUCUUUCCUCAUUGUUUACCAUAUUUUGUCUAUUUUCAGGAUUCGUAGGUUAUAUAACUUAGCAUUUGCUUGGGUCAUGGUCACUGUUCUUCAGUGACCUCUAUAUUUCUCUCCUUAUCUUAGUGGUCUGCUGGUCUGCUUAUGCCUUGUCAGUCUCUCGCCUGCCUCAUAAACAAUUGGGUUUAAAGAAGGCUAAAAAUAUUGUCGCUCUUCCCAGACCUCUCAGAUUUGAGAAUGACUGGCUGUGGAAAAGUGGGUAUGGAAAAUCAAAA
rnacentral:lncRNA from 1 species